rnacentral:lncRNA from 1 species
AUGUUCCUGGGUUCUGCCAUGUUACCACCAGCCCCACUGUACCAAGCUCUAGAUUAAGGAGUUGAGGGAAAGAAACCUUCUCUGUUCAGUUGUCGAUGGUGGUGGUGUCAACUGGAGUCUGGAGAUAUUUUAAUAGACAACUACAGCACUCAUCUUUUCUGGGUUGGCCCUUUAAGUAAAAGCUGUGAGUAGAAAUGAAAUGUUGCUGUAGAUAACUUAAUUGACUUUUACCAUUGCCUGCUUCCUCACCGCCUUCGAAGUACUCCAGGUUUCAGGGGAAAGGAGAAACUUCUCAUCAAUUUAUUGGAUACUGCCCUAGACCUUUAAAGAUUUCCUGUGGCUGCAAGGAUGUUCUCCAGAAGAGAAUAUGGAUCAAGUGGACCAGGCAGCUGGAUAAAAAGGGAAUAUGCCACAAGAAGAGGCCAGGAGAAGAAGUACCUGCUCUAAUGAGAACAUACAAGUUAUUCAAGGUGUGAAGUCUCUGUACCUACCUUUGGGAACUGGGUUCUUAGCUUGGCAAGUCAUUCAGUGCAUUCCUCACAUAAAGCUGCUAGGGAAUGGUAUUAAUUGCAAUAAGUCAAUAAGUUUGUAAGUUAAUCAGGUACUCAUCCAAGGCACAGGAAGAAUCUGUGCAAAGGAAUACUAUUCCCAGUAUUCCUAAUAUUACAUACAUAAUGGCUAUGGAACACAUAAAAAUAUAUAUGAAAAUGUUCAUGGUUUUGCUAUAAAACAAGCUGUCUGUAAAAUUUCCAUUUAAAGUUUAUUUUAAUCUGAUUGAUAUUAAAUGUUGUCCCUUAAUGAGCAGCUCAUUGUUUUGAAGAAUUGACUGUACAUUUACAUUUUUUUUCUUUAAAAAAGUUACUAAAUUUCUUUAAAAACAUUACUAAUCACUAAAUGCAUGCAAAAUUUUCUACACUACUGAAAUAAUAUUCUACAACAAUAUUCAUUCACUGCAACAUGGAGAGGAAGAUCUGAAAGGUUCACUCAUCCUGAAUGAUAGUGAGGAUGUUGUGUUUAUUUGGUUUUGUGUGUGGGUCUGUUUGUCUGUUUGUUAUUGCUUUCACAUUUUUCUUUCCCUUAAGAGGUCGUGUUGAGCCACAUUCAUUGUUGCCCACAUGUGUUUGUAUAUUGUGCAAAGGUAAUGAACUGAAAUGUAAACUUUGUGCAGAAGAAACUUGCAGUGAGUAAAUGCUUUGCUUACACU